GAUGAACGCUGGCGGCGUGCCUAACACAUGCAAGUCGAACGGAGAUUACGGACGGAAGUUUUCGGAUGGAAGCCUGUAAUUCUUAGUGGCGGACGGGUGAGUAACGCGUGGGCAACCUGCCCUAUACAGGGGGAUAGCAGCUGGAAACGGCUGGUAAGACCGCAUAAGUCGGUUAAAUCGCAUGAUUUGAUCGGGAAAUGAGCAAUCAGGUAUAGGAUGGGCCCGCAUCCGAUUAGCCAGUUGGCAGGGUAAAAGCCUACCAAAGCGACGAUCGGUAGCCGGACUGAGAGGUGGGACGGCCACAGUGGGACUGAGACACGGCCCAAACUCCUACGGGAGGCAGCAGUGGGGGAUAGUGCACAAUGGAGGAAACGCUGAUGCAGCGACGCCGGGUGAGUGAAGAAGUAUUUCGGUAUGUAAAGCGCGAUCAGCAGGGAAGAUGAUGACGGUACCUGACGAAGAAGCCCCGGCUAACUACGUG
rnacentral:rRNA from 1 species